rnacentral:rRNA from 1 species
AACGAACGCUGGCGGUAGGCCUAACACAUGCAAGUCGAGCGAUCUCUUCGGAGAUAGCGGCGGACGGGUGAGUAACGCGUGGGAACAUACCCAGAGGUACGGAACAACAGUUAGAAAUGACUGCUAAUACCGUAUACGCCCUACGGGGGAAAGAAUUUCGCCUUUGGAUUGGCCCGCGUUGGAUUAGAUAGUUGGUGGGGUAACGGCCUACCAAGUCUACGAUCCAUAGCUGGUUUGAGAGGAUGAUCAGCCACACUGGGACUGAGACACGGCCCAGACUCCUACGGGAGGCAGCAGUGGGGAAUCUUAGACAAUGGGCGCAAGCCUGAUCUAGCCAUACCGCGUGAGUGAUGAAGGCCUUAGGGUCGUAAAGCUCUUUCGCCAGGGAAGAUAAUGACUGUACCUGGUAAAGAAGUCCCGGCUAACUCCGUGCCAGCAGCCGCGGUAA